GUGGUUGUGGCUUAGUGGUAGAGUGCUUGCCUCACAUGUGUGAGUCAUUGGGUUCGAGUCUCAGCACCACA
rnacentral:tRNA from 1 species